CGAUUAAAGAAAAUAGUCCCUAGAAAAAGGGAAAAAAAAAAAAAAAAGCCACAGCUUGAUAGAAUGUUGCAUGUUGCCAUGCCAACGCACAAACCGACUGACAGUUCGUAGUACGUGUAGUAACGGUUUCAAUGUAACCAACGAUCGCUAGAAUGAAAUUUGAUGUAGCGAACGCAAACAGGCGGAGUGAUACAAACAGUGAAAUGUACAAGUGCUGCUAUUUUUUAAAAAUCAGGACUCUUAUCUUGGAAUGCCGCUUGUGCAAUAAUAUUAACUAACUGCUGUAUAAUAAGCCAGGAGAGGUCAGGCCAAACCUGAAAUUUAAAAAAAAAAAGUCAUUAUGAGUGUCAUGUUCAUUUAAGUGAACUUUAACCCAAGAAAUGUACAAACGGUGUGAAGUGUGAACCAAUAGGAAACAAGACGGCAGGAUGUGGCGUCUUCCUUCUAUCGAAAGUAAAAUGGAGGAGUUUGGGACAUUGUUGCAGUGAGUAGCGUUGCCAUGUCACACCUCCAGGGUCCCUGGUUUGUUCUCCCUGUGUAUCUUAGAAGGGGGAAAUGAAUUUACCUCAAAUGACCACAACAUGACAGUAAUUGCUAUCUGUGUUGUAGCUUUGUUGAUAUAUAAUCACACACUUGUCUCUCAUCCAUAAACUGUGUCUUCUAAAACACGGACCUAUUACACAUCAGUGAAAGCUGCGGUCUGUUUUGAAUAGCGGUGGCUCAGUGGUUAAAGGCGCUGGGUUAUUGGCCAGAAGGUCAGGAGUUCAAGCCCCAGUACUGCCAAGCUACCACUGUUGGGCCCUUGGGUAAGGCCCUCAACCUCAACAACCCUCAGUUGUAUAAAUGAGAUAAAUGGUCAAAGGGGAACCUGGAGGCUAUCCCAGGGAGCAUCGGGCACGAGUACACCCUGGAUGGGGUGCCAGUCCAUCGCAGGGCACAAUCACAUACACAUUCACACACCCAUUCAUACACUACAGACACUUUAGACACACCAAUCAGCCUACCAUGCAUGUCUUUGGACUGGGGGAGGAAACCGGAGUACCCGGAGGAAACCCCCACAGCACAGGGAGAACAUGCAAACUCCACACACACGUGGCCCCGCCGGGACUCAAACCCCAGCCCCUGGAGGUGUGAGGCAAAUGUGCUAACCACUAAGCCACAUUUUCCAGCCACAUUUUCACGACUGUAAUUCCUUUCUAGAAGAUAUAACUUUUACAUGCUUACUAGGCGGCAAAAAAAAAAAACCCCUCUGCAAUUUAUAGUCUGUAAAAUGCAGCGAUUGGAAUUGAAAUCUCACACGUUUUAUGUUAUUUUUGACAAUAUUUUCCACUAUUGCACAUUGUUGCCAUACGGCAACAAUUUACCAACCGCAACUAAUUUACAGUGAAUCAGAGCAAAAUUCCAGAAAUUGAAUUUCAGACUUUGUUGCUCUGCCUCUAAGCUACAGUGUCCUCCAGCCCUUUUAUGGCAUCAUAACAGUUACAUGUGGCAAGUAGUUGCUGAGGUUUGUGCUGCUAUUUGGUUUUAGAUGUCCAAAACGGAAGUUAUGACAAAAAAGAUCAGCUGUCUGAAAUACAAGGACAUACACGCGUUCCUAAUCCAAACCAGAGCUGCGAACAAUACGAAAAGCAUCAGCCUUUAGUCCAGACAUGUUCACUGCCUGUGCCACCCUGAUGUUGAUUAAUUUCCGAUAACAGCAUGUCCUGAAGUGUUUUAUUCCUCUCAUACCACAACAGUUAGACAAUAGAUUUUAAAAAAUUUAUACAUUAAAGAACCAUCGUACUUUUUAUCCAUUUAUAGUUACAAUUAGUGUUGUGAAACAUUCGAUAUGCAGGGUUGAUAGGACGGGACACAAGUGAAUGAAAUCAGCAAACGUGGCAACCCAGAACAUUAGGUAUGGACUUAACAGCCAUGGUACGAUAAGACUUCAUGCCAAGACUAGGACACACAAGGAUAUAUUAUAUAUAUGAGGGGGCAGAGAGGAUUGGGAACAUAAUCGAACGCACAUGGUCAGUGAUCAAAACAAAACAAAUCAUGGAAGCCUGGGUAUUACAUGGCAGAAACAAGUUAAUUCCUCUUAUCACUUUUGUAACAGCAGCCAUUCCCUCACCAGUUCACCUACUGGCAUGUUUUUGGGAGGUGGAAGGAAACUGAAGAACCCAGAGGAAACCGAUGCAGACACAGGGAGAAGUUAGACAGAAACGCCACACAGACACUAAGCUGAGCUCAGGAUCGAGUUAAGAUUGAGCAACGCUGCCCUCUAAGCCAAAAUAAUUUCACAAUCAAAUAUCAAUAAUAUAUUCUGACAGACUGUGGAUCAAAAUAUUGAAAAUGGUUCAAGACGAGCGAGGAACGAAAUACUGAGAAAAAAAAAAAAACUCAGCCAAGAUCAAGUUGCACUUGUUAUACUGUAAAUGCCAUUUCCUUGUGAUUAAAAACAAAUCAGAUUUUUAUUUAUUUAUUUAUUUAUUUAUUUAAAUCAGCAUGUACAUAACUGGGGUGCGCGGUGGCUUAGUGGUUAGCACGUUCGCCUCACGCCUCCAGGGUCGGGGGUUCGAUUCCCACCGUGGCCCUGUGUGUGUGGAGUUCGCAUGUUCUCCCUGUGCUGCGGGGGUUUCCUCCGGGUUCUCCGGUUUCCACCCCCAGUCCAAAGACGUGCAUGGUAGGCCGAUCGGCAUGUCCGUAGUGUGUGAGUGUGUAUGAUUGUGCCCUGCGAUGGAUUGGCACCCUGUCCAGCGUGUACCCCGCCUCGUGCCCGAUGCCUCCUGGGAUAGACUCCAGCGUCCCCGUGACCCUGAAGAAGGAUAAGCGGUAUAGAAGUUGUGAUGCAUUUGAUUACUGAUGUAAUCAUUUUGUACAGUAACUGGCCACCAUCAGCAGGUCCCGAGAAACCCGGGUAACUGGAGAACUUCACAGCAAUUAGUGGUUUUAAAGGAUCAGCAAGACGACUGGCCACACUUCAGUUUCAAAUUACUUUGAAAAAUGGUGAUUUGAGAAACGUUUACCCGAGAGACGGCUCACGUCUCCAACAUCUGCGAUACAAUGUAAAUGUUUAUUCCAAGUUUAAUACUCACCUACGGCAUUAUCCUGCCAACACUUCUGUCCGAGAAAACGCGCAGGUUUA